AAUGAACGCUGGCGGCGUGCCUAACACAUGCAAGUCGAACGAGAAAGCCCGCAAGGGUGAGUACAGUGGCGCACGGGUGAGUAAUACAUAGGAAUCUGCCUCUGAGUGAAGAAUACCCUAGAGAAAUUUAGGUUAAUACUGCAUAAGCCCAGAAAUGGGGAAAGGUGGCCUCAAGCUACCGCUGAGAGAUGAGCCUAUGGCCUAUUAGCUAGUUGGUAGGGUAAAAGCCUACCAAGGCGAGGAUGGGUAGCCGGCCUGAGAGGGUGUACGGCCACACUGGAACUGAGACACGGUCCAGACUCCUACGGGAGGCAGCAGUGGGGAAUAUUGGACAAUGGGGGGAACCCUGAUCCAGCCUUGCCGCGUGUGUGAAGAAGGUCUUAGGAUUGUAAAGCACUUUAAGUUGGGAGGAAGAGCAGUUAACUAAUAUUUGACUGUUUUGACGUUACCGACAGAAUAAGCACCGGCUAACUUCGUGCCAGCCGCCGCCGUAA
rnacentral:rRNA from 1 species